rnacentral:rRNA from 1 species
AGGAUGAACGCUGGCGGCGUGCCUAACACAUGCAAGUCGAACGUCCUGUCUCGCAAGAGGCAGGGAGUGGCGGACGGGUGAGUACCACGUGGGUCAUCUACCGUGAGGUGAGGAAUACCGGCGAGAAAUCGCCGACAAGACCGCAUAGGCUCGAUGCAAGUCGAGCAAAGCUCUUUCGAGAGAGGGAGCGCCACACGAGGAGCCUGCGCCCGAUUAGCUAGCUGGUGGAGUAACGGUUCACCAGGGCGACGAUCGGUAGCUGGUCUGAGAGGACGAUCAGCCACACUGGGAUUGAGAACGGCCCAGACUCCUACGGGGGCAGCAGUGAGGAAUUUUCGUCAAUGGGGGCAACCCUGAACGAGCAACGCCGCGUGCAGGAGAGGUUUCGGAUCGUAAACUGCUUUCUCGGGAAGAGAACGGACGGUACCGAGGAAUCAGCCCCGGCUAACGUACGUGCCAGCAGCCGCGGU